UAUCAAACCAUAUUUUACUUUUCACAUUCAAAGAGGAAAAAAAAAAUGGCUAAAAUUAUCAAGUUUGUGUAUGAUAUAAUACUAUUUUUUUUCAUAUUUAUUCUUGCGACGGAAGGACUUAAUUUACCUAUGGUAUGUGACAUAGAUGCCGAUUGUCCGAAGUCUGAAGACUACUAUUAUGAGUUAAUGUGCAUUCUUCACAAAUGUAUAUUUGUUUUCAAACUAGACCCAGAGCCCGGUUUGGGAAGGAUAAUACACUAGCGUUUAUAAGCUAAAAGCUCGGUUUGGAAAAAAGUGUACGAGUUGAAGAAAGGAGCGAAAAUGAACUGAAAAGGAGUAGAAAUGGACAAAAAAGGCCACACACGUGCAGCAUAGGGCCACACAUGUGCGGCCCGUCAAAAUCACGCAGCAGCCCACCAGCCAACAACAAUGGCGCACGCCAAGUUGGGCCUAGUGGCGGUCGCCAGCCAAUCUCAGCCGUCCAAUUUGAUUCAAAUUGUGUGGCGUUCGCCACACCUGCAAUUAGUCCCACAUCGUUUAUUUGCAAUGUUUUGUCUCCUAGCUACUAGUAUAAAUAUGUGUCCUUUCUUACACUUUAAAGGACACACCAAUUUAUAACAGUUGAUGAAGAGAAUUGAGACUUAGAUUUAUUCUAAGUUUCUUCUCUUAGUUUAAAUUUUUAUUCGCUGCUGUUGCGCUGUUGGUGUCCGUACUCAAGAUUUCUUUUAUUAAUUCAGGUUCUUUAUUUUA